rnacentral:lncRNA from 1 species
GGGAAGAGAACAAUGUAACUUAUCUUAUUAAGAAUUUAAAGACUGCUUUGUGACAGAUUGUGGGUCAGUUCUGAGAUGAUGGAAACAGGAAUAGGAUCAAUUGAGUAUAAUUCCAUCACCCAGACUUUUAUUCAAGUGGUGACAUCAGGUCUGAUUCUUUUGAUAUAAGCCAUUCUUCUGUUGGUGGCGCAGGUUACAGAAGUUUCACCUCAACAUGUCUCCCGAGUUUCCCUCCCAGAAAGCCCUCCAGACGAGAAUGGGAUGAGAUGAACAGUUUCUGUUGGUCCCAAUGGUGUGCCCAGCAACAACAGUUACUAGCCAAGACAGCAAGCCACAGGCUGGAAUUGUCUUUUGUGUUUACGGAACUGUGCUGCAGCGUGGCAUGAGAGAACCGGACCUUUGGAGGAGGGCAGGGAAGUUUCAUGUUCCUUGGCACAGGAGUAGUCACAGCCAGUCUCAGGGCUCUGCUUCCAGGGCUGAAACCUGCAUCCCGUCCAGACAGUCCACCCAGCAGUGACCUCUAGGAUCUGCACAGGUGGGGUUUCAUUGUAAACAGAAGGCUUUCUUCUUCCCUGGCUCUCCCAACAAAAUAAUCUCCCUUUUUACAAAAAAUGAAAAAGGCUAAUUCCCAAUAGAUAAAUAGUAAUUGCACUAACAAUUGCAAGCAAGUAAUAAAUACUGAAUUGGCUCUCA